rnacentral:rRNA from 16 species
CUUCGGGAAAAAGGGUCCCUACCCGUUGACGGGAGGGCGCAGCGAAUCGGUCCAGGCAACUGUUUACCAAAAACACAGGGCUGUGCGAAUUCGAAAGAAGCGGUAUACAGCCUGACACCUGCCCGGUGCCGGAAGGUUAAGAGGAGAGGUCAUCGCAAGAGAAGCCUUGAAUUGAAGCCCCGGUAAACGGCGUCCGUAACAAUAACGGUCCUAAGGUAGCG